rnacentral:rRNA from 1 species
GAUGAACGCUGGCGGCGUGCCUAAUACAUGCAAGUCGAGCGAACGGACGAGAAGCUUGCUUCUCUGAUGUUAGCGGCGGACGGGUGAGUAACACGUGGAUCCCCUACCUAUCAGACUGGGAUAACUUCGGGAAUCCGGCGCUUAUACCGGAUAAUAUUUUGAACCGCAUGGUUCAAAAGUGAAUGACGGCCUUGCUGUCAGUUAUCGAUGGAUCCGCGCUGCAUUAGAUAGUUGGUAAGGUAACGGCUUACCAAGGCAACGAUGCCUAACCGACCUGAGAGGGUGAUCGGCCACACUGGAACGGGGACACGGUCCAGACUCCUACGGGAGGCAGCAGUAGGGAAUCUGCCGCAAUAGGCGAAAGCCUGACGGAGCAACGCCGCGUGAGUGAUGAAGGUCUUCGGAGCGUAAAACUCUGUUAUUAGGGAAGAACAUAUGUGUAAGUAACUGUGCACAGCUUGACGGUACCUAAUCAGAAAGCCACGGCUAACUACGUG